GGUAGUCCACGCCGUAAACGAUGUCGACUUGGAGGUUGUUCCCUUGAGGAGUGGCUUCCGGAGCUAACGCGUUAAGUCGACCGCCUGGGGAGUACGGCCGCAAGGUUAAAACUCAAAUGAAUUGACGGGGGCCCGCACAAGCGGUGGAGCAUGUGGCUUAAUUCGAUGCAACGCGAAGAACCUUACCUACUCUUGACAUCCAGAGAACUUAGCAGAGAUGCUUUGGUGCCUUCGGGAACUCUGAGACAGGUGCUGCAUGGCUGUCGUCAGCUCGUGUUGUGAAAUGUUGGGUUAAGUCCCGCAACGAGCGCAACCCUUAUCCUUUGUUGCCAGCGGUUCGGCCGGGAACUCAAAGGAGACUGCCAGUGAUAAACUGGAGGAAGGUGGGGAUGACGUCAAGUCAUCAUGGCCCUUACGAGUAGGGCUACACACGUGCUACAAUGGCGCAUACAAAGAGAAGCGACCUCGCGAGAGCAAGCGGACCUCAUAAAGUGCGUCGUAGUCCGGAUCGGAGUCUGCAACUCGACUCCGUGAAGUCGGAAUCGCUAGUAAUCGUAGAUCAGAAUGCUACGGUGAAUACGUUCCCGGGCCUUGUACACACCGCCCGUCACACCAUGGGAGUGGGUUGCAAAAGAAGUAGGUAGCUUAACCUUCGGGAGGGCGCUUACCACUUUGUGAUUCAUGACUGGGGUGAAGUCGUAACAAGGUAACCGUAGGGGAACCUGC
rnacentral:rRNA from 1 species